GACGAACGCUGGCGGCGUGCCUAAUACAUGCAAGUUGAGCGCUUAAGGUUGGUACUUGUACCAACUGGAUGAGCAGCGAACGGGUGAGUAACGCGUGGGGAAUCUGCCUUUGAGCGGGGGACAACAUUUGGAAACGAAUGCUAAUACCGCAUAAAAACUUUAAACACAAGUUUUAAGUUUGAAAGAUGCAAUUGCAUCACUCAAAGAUGAUCCCGCGUUGUAUUAGCUAGUUGGUGAGGUAAAGGCUCACCAAGGCGAUGAUACAUAGCCGACCUGGGAGGGUGAUCGGCCACAUUGGGACUGGGACACGGCCCAAACUCCUACGGGAGGCAGCAGUAGGGAAUCUUCGGCAAUGGACGAAAGUCUGACCGAGCAACGCCGCGUGAGUGAAGGAGGUUUUCGGAUCGUAAAACUCUGUUGGUAGAGAAGAACGUUGGUGAGAGUGGAAAGCUCAUCAAGUGACGGUAACUACCCAGAAAGGGACGGCUAACUACGUG
rnacentral:rRNA from 1 species